UACAUAGGGUGCGAGCGUUAAUCGGAAUUACUGGGCGUAAAGCGUGCGCAGGCGGUUUUGUAAGCCCGAUGUGAAAUCCCCGGGCUUAACCUGGGAAUUGCGCUUGUGACUGGCGUGCUGGAGUGUGGCAGAGGGAGGUGGAAUUCCACGUGUAGCAGUGAAAUGCGUAGAGAUGUGGAGGAACACCGAUGGCGAAGGCAGCCUCCUGGGCCAGCACUGACGCUCAUGCACGAAAGCGUGGGGAGCAAACAGG
rnacentral:rRNA from 1 species